rnacentral:rRNA from 1 species
UACGGAGGGUGCGAGCGUUGUCCGGAAUUAUUGGGCGUAAAGAGCUCGUAGGCGGUGUGUCACGUCGGCCGUGAAAACCUGCAGCUUAACUGUGGGCGUGCGGUCGAUACGGGCAUCACUGGAGUUCGGCAGGGGAGACUGGAAUUCCUGGUGUAGCGGUGAAAUGCGCAGAUAUCAGGAGGAACACCGAUGGCGAAGGCAGGUCUCUGGGCCGAUGACUGACGCUGAGGAGCGAAAGCGUGGGGAGCGAACAGG